AAUGUCAUAAGCCAGUGAGAUCCUUUCAGAUGGAUUAGAUCUCCAUUUUACACAUGAGAAAGUCCAGGCUGAGAGAGACAAGGAUACAAUGAGAAGUUGGCAGCUGCAACAUGGAACGGGGCCUUCAUUGGAACCAGACCACCCUGGCAAACCUGGUCGUGAACUUCCAGCCAUCAGAGCAGUGAGAAAUAAAUGUCUAUUGUUUAUAAGCCACCCAGACUUUGGUAUUUUGCUAUAGUAGCCUCCAAGGAUUGAAACUGUUGCUCUGCUUAAACAACUAUUUUAGGUGUCAGGAAUGAGCUGCCAGGAACCAGCCUCUGAAUAAGAAAUGUGUGAAAAUUUUCUAGAGACAGAUUAAGACCCUAAACUGUUGAUACCAAGAGACGGGGACAACUUGGAACCUCACUGACCUCUCCUCCCCAUGUUGGCAGAUUUGGCAAAUAAAAGCACAGGACACUCAAUUAAAUCUGAAUUUCAGCCCUGUGCAUUUGGAGUUGAGAAGAUUGAGAAACAAGGCCGGGCAUGGUGGCUCAUACCUGAAAUCCCAGCACUUUGGGAGGCUAAGGCGGGCAGAUCACUUGAG